AAAGACUCGCUAAUACCGCAUAUGACGAAAGUUGAAAAGGAGUAAAUCCGUCUAAAGAUGAGCCCGCGUCCGAUUAGCUAGUUGGUAGAGUAAAAGCCUACCAAGGCGACGAUCGGUAGCUGGUCUGAGAGGAUGAUCAGCCACAAUGGGACUGAGACACGGCCCAUACUCCUACGGGAGGCAGCAGUGGGAAUUUUACGCAAUGGCGAAAGCCUGACGUAGCGACACCGCGUGAGCGAAGAAGCCCCUUGGGGUGUAAAGCUCUGUCAGCUGGAACGAAAAAAUGACGGUACCAGCAGAGGAAGCAUCGGCUAACUACGUG
rnacentral:rRNA from 1 species